rnacentral:rRNA from 1 species
UGCUUCUCUGAUGUUAGCGGCGGACGGGUGAGUAACACGUGGAUAACCUACCUAUAAGACUGGGAUAACUUCGGGAAACCGGAGCUAAUACCGGAUAAUAUUUUGAACCGCAUGGUUCAAAAGUGAAAGACGGUCUUGCUGUCACUUAUAGAUGGAUCCGCGCUGCAUUAGCUAGUUGGUAAGGUAACGGCUUACCAAGGCAACGAUGCAUAGCCGACCUGAGAGGGUGAUCGGCCACACUGGAACUGAGACACGGUCCAGACUCCUACGGGAGGCAGCAGUAGGGAAUCUUCCGCAAUGGGCGAAAGCCUGACGGAGCAACGCCGCGUGAGUGAUGAAGGUCUUCGGAUCGUAAAACUCUGUUAUUAGGGAAGAACAUAUGUGUAAGUAACUGUGCACAUCUUGACGGUACCUAAUCAGAAAGCCACGGCUAACUACGUGCCAGCAGCCGCGGUAAUACGUAGGUGGCAAGCGUUAUCCGGAAUUAUUGGGCGUAAAGCGCGCGUAGGCGGUUUUUUAAGUCUGAUGUGAAAGCCCACGGCUCAACCGUGGAGGGUCAUUGGAAACUGGAAAACUUGAGUGCAGAAGAGGAAAGUGGAAUUCCAUGUGUAGCGGUGAAAUGCGCAGAGAUAUGGAGGAACACCAGUGGCGAAGGCGACUUUCUGGUCUGUAACUGACGCUGAUGUGCGAAAGCGUGGGGAUCAAACAGGAUUAGAUACCCUGGUAGUCCACGCCGUAAACGAUGAGUGCUAAGUGUUAAGGGGGUUUCCGCCCCUUAGUGCUGCAGCU